UCUUUAACAACCAUUCCUCUAUAUUACUCCCAACACCAGCUCAUAUAUUCAAAAUCGGAGGAAAGUAACAUAGAGAAAUCUUCUACGUUCCAAUUGCUCGAUCAAACUAAAGUUUGAGGAUAAAAAAAAUACAAAACUACCGUGAAUUCAAUUCCUUCAGCUGCUAGGCAAUUUUUCCUCUCCAAAGGUGAUUCCUUGCAAGCGGGACGUGAUAUCGAGGGAAAGGAAAUUAAU